GAUGGCGAGUGGCGGACGGGUGAGGAAUACAUCGGAAUCUACCUUUUCGUGGGGGAUAACGUAGGGAAACUUACGCUAAUACCGCAUACGACCUUCGGGUGAAAGCAGGGGACCUUCGGGCCUUGCGCGGAUAGAUGAGCCGAUGUCGGAUUAGCUAGUUGGCGGGGUAAAGGCCCACCAAGGCGACGAUCCGUAGCUGGUCUGAGAGGAUGAUCAGCCACACUGGAACUGAGACACGGUCCAGACUCCUACGGGAGGCAGCAGUGGGGAAUAUUGGACAAUGGGCGCAAGCCUGAUCCAGCCAUACCGCGUGGGUGAAGAAGGCCUUCGGGUUGUAAAGCCCUUUUGUUGGGAAAGAAAAGCAAUCGGCUAAUACCCGGUUGUUCUGACGGUACCCAAAGAAUAAGCACCGGCUAACUUCGUGCCAGCAGCCGCGGUAAUACGAAGGGUGCAAGCGUUACUCGGAAUUACUGGGCGUAAAGCGUGCGUAGGUGGUUGUUUACGUCUGUUGUGAAAGCCCUGGGCUCCACCUGGGAAUUGCCCUGGAU
rnacentral:rRNA from 1 species